rnacentral:lncRNA from 1 species
GUUAUUUUUAAAUGUGUGCCCUGUUUGACAUGUUUCACAAUUUGUGAUUUCUCAAUAACAAGAAUUGUACAACUAUUAGAAUUCUAGGCAAAUUCAGAAACAGGCACACCAACUGGGAAGAGUCAGGAGGGGCAAGGAGUGCUUUAAAGAUGAAGGGAAAUGGGGAGUUCUUAUUUAAAGGGUUCUAGUCCCAGUUUUAUAAGGCGUUAUUGAGACAGAGUUUAGGCUCAGUACAGUGGUGGGACAUCAAUCCCAGUACUGGGAUAUGUGUGGAGGAGGGCAGAGGCAGACAGAUCUCUGUGAAUUUAGGGCUGGUCAACGUAGAAUGUUCUAGGCUAGGCAUAACUCCUGAAUAAGACGCUGUUUCAAAAGAACAAAAAACAAACAAAAACAAACGUUACGUUUAGAAGCUGUGAUUUUUGGUGAUUAUCAGAGGAAUUUAUUAGACAUUUUUUUCUCUCAACGUUUUUGGCUUGGCGGAAUGUAGCCUGAUCAGUACAUCCAAGGGAAUAUAGUAAGUCAGCGAGGCAGACGUUUCCUGGUCUCCUGUCACGUCUUCUGGGUCUGCAGUAAAGAUGGACUGUCCGUUUCCUGUGUGGGUAACUCCUGCUGAGUCAGUUUAUCAGCAUGACAUCGCUGAAAAGUCCACAGCAGCAUGCGCUUCUACGCUCUCCAGAUACUCACCAUUGGUACUGCUUGUUCACUUCUGGGAAAUCUUAAGAAAACGCAGAAGCAUUGUCGAACUCAAAAGCGGAAGUCAAGGAUUUGAAAUGUGAUGGUACAUCCUGCUCCCCACCCCCCCCCCCCCCCCUAAAAGCAGCAGGAUUUGAAGUAACGUCUUCCUUACUCAUUGUAACUUCAUGUUUCCUUAAGUCUUAUUUUAAAAAUUGGUCUGCCAUUCAAGAUUAUGUUUCCAAGAUUAUUUUCCAGGCUUUAUUAAAGCUGCCAUAAAACAGCAGU